CUCACAUAUUCAAUGGUGACCAUCUACAGGGCAUCAAAGAUCCUGUUGAAAGCCAGACUCCCAAACUUCAUACUUGAUUUUGCCUUCUUUUCAAAACUGCCAGGAAAUGAGCAUCAUUGACAUUUUCACUAUCAUAUUUAGAGCCUGAGAUGGCUGCGCUGAGUUUCACUUCAUGGUUACUGGGAACCUCAAUCACAAUAGAUUUCCAGAUUUGCCAGUGUGUACAGCUUGCAUGGCACACCUCGGCUCUGCUGAUUGGCCCCACUCUGGUGGUCAGCCUGAAGAACAGAAGGCAGGAUAAUUACGUUGGGAACAUGACCAUGUGUUUCUGGGAACUUGAAGAGCUGUGGUCAGAAGCAACGCAAUUUUAGGCACUGUCAUGCAAAUUCAUGAUGGACAUCCGGCUACUCCUUCAACAAUAAACAUUACUCUGCCUUUCCA
rnacentral:lncRNA from 1 species